rnacentral:rRNA from 1 species
AGAGUUUGAUCAUGGCUCAGAACGAACGCUGGCGGCGUGCUUAACACAUGCAAGUCGAGUGCGCGGUUGUAGCAAUACAACUGGCGCACGGCGCACGGGUGCGUAACACGUGGGUAACCUGCCCUUUGGUGGGGAAUAACCCCGGGAAACCGGGGCUAAUUCCGCAUAAGAUCCGCAAGGAUGAAAGCCGCAAGGCGCCG